rnacentral:rRNA from 1 species
GAUGAACGCUGGCGGCGUGCCUAAUACAUGCAAGUCGAGCGAACGGACGAGAAGCUUGCUUCUCUGAUGUUAGCGGCGGACGGGUGAGUAACACGUGGAUAACCUACCUAUAAGACUGGGAUAACUUCGGGAAACCGGAGCUAAUACCGGAUGAUAUUUUGAACCGCAUGGUUCAAAAGUGAAAGACGGUCUUGCUGUCACCUAUAGAUGGAUCCGCGCUGCAUUAGCUAGUUGGUAAGGUAACGGCUUACCAAGGCAACGAUGCAUAGCCGACCUGAGAGGGUGAUCGGCCACACUGGAACUGAGACACGGUCCAGACUCCUACGGGAGGCAGCAGUAGGGAAUCUUCCGCAAUGGGCGAAAGCCUGACGGAGCAACGCCGCGUGAGUGAUGAAGGUCUUCGGAUCGUAAAACUCUGUUAUUAGGUAAGAACAUAUGUGUAAGUAACUGUGCACAUCUUGACGGUACCUAAUCAGAAAGCCACGGCUAACUACGUG